rnacentral:rRNA from 1 species
CUCCGGUUGAUCCCGCCGGACCCGACUGCUAUCGGAUUGAGAUUUAGCCAUGCGAGUCGAACGUCCCCCUGUUGCGGGGGGCGUGGCGUACGGCUCAGUAACACGUAGUCAACCUGCCCUGGAGACAAGGACAACCCCGGGAAACUGGGAUUAAUCCUUGAUAGGUCAUCUCAUCUGGAAGGAGAGAUGGCUUAAAGGGGUACGCGGGCUUCUUCCGCGAAUCUGCUCCAGGAUGGGACUGCGUCCGAUCAGGCUGUUGGCGGGGUAAUGGCCCACCAAACCUGUAACCGGUACGGGCCUUGAGAGAGGUGGCCCGGAGAUGGACACUGAGAGAAGGGUCCAGGUCCUACGGGGCGCAGCAGGCGCGAAACCUUCGCAAUGCGCGAAAGCGUGACGAGGUUAAUCCGAGUGACUCCCGCUGAGGGGGUCUUUUGUCAGCUGUAAAUAGGCAGGCGAAUAAGGGGAGGGCAAGCCUGGUGUCAGCCGCCGCGGUAAUACCAGCUCCUCGAGUGGUCGGGGCGAUUAUUGGGCCUAAAGCAUCCGUAGCCGGUUCCGUAGGUCCUCUGUUAAAUCCAACCGCUUAACGGUUGACCUGCAGAGGAUACCGCGGGACUAGGAGGCGGGAGAGGCGGACGGUACUCCGCGUGUAGGGGUAAAAUCCUUUGAUCCGCGGAAGACCACCAGUGGCGAAGGCGGUCCGCCAGAACGCGCUCGACGGUGAGGGAUGAAAGCUGGGGGAGCGAACCGGAUUAGAUACCCGGGUAGUCCCAGCCGUAAACGAUGCUAGCUAGAUGAUUCAUUCGCAAGUCGCGAAUGAAGUGUCGCAGGGAAGCCGUUAAGCUAGCCGCCUGGGGAGUACGGUCGCAAGACUGAAACUUAAGGAAAUGGCGGGGGAGCA